rnacentral:rRNA from 1 species
GACAGAGGGGGCAAGCGUUGCUCGGAAUCACUGGGCGUAAAGAGCUCGUAGGCGGUCUGUCGCGUCGGUCGUGAAAACUUGGGGCUUAACCCUGAGCUUGCGGUCGAUACGGGCAUGACUGGAGUUCGGCAGGGGAGACUGGAAUUCCUGGUGUAGCGGUGAAAUGCGCAGAUAUCAGGAGGAACACCGGUGGCGAAGGCGGGUCUCUGGGCCGAUACUGACGCUGAGGAGCGAAAGCGUGGGGAGCGAACAGG